rnacentral:rRNA from 1 species
UGGGGAAUUUUGCGCAAUGGGGGAAACCCUGACGCAGCAACGCCGCGUGGAGGAUGAAGUAUCUUGGUACGUAAACUCCUUUCGAUUGGGAAGAUAAUGACGGUACCAAUAGAAGAAGCCCCGGCUAACUUCGUGCCAGCAGCCGCGGUAAUACGAGGGGGGCAAGCGUUGUUCGGAUUUAUUGGGCGUAAAGGGUGCGUAGGCGGUUUGGCAAGUCUUAUGUGAAAUCUUCGGGCUCAACCCGAAGCCUGCAUAAGAAACUGCCGGGCUUGAGUAUGGGAGAGGUGAGUGGAAUUUCCGGUGUAGCGGUGAAAUGCGUAGAUAUCGGAAGGAAUACCUGUGGCGAAAGCGGCUCACUGGACCAUAACUGACGCUGAGGCACGAAAGCUAGGGGAGCAAACAGGAUUAGAUACCCUGGUAGUCCUAGCCCUAAACGAUGAUUGCUUGAUGUGGCAGGUACCCAAUCCUGCCGUGUCGAAGCUAACGCGAUAAGCAAUCCGCCUGGGGAGUACGGUCGCAAGGCUG